GGCGAGUAGCGAACGGGUGAGUAAUACAUCGGAACGUACCCAGAAGUGGGGGAUAAC
rnacentral:rRNA from 1 species